GUCUGAUAUUCAGCAGCUCUAAACUGAACCAUGAAGAACUCCUUCUGUUUCCAUGCUGUUAUACUCAAUGUCACAUGAUCACUGCAGCCAAUAGAGUCAUUUCCAUAGAGAGAGCUGACUUUGCAUUAUCAGCACAUGCUUCAGUGCUCUGGGAGAGUUUAUAGUCCUGUGAGUUUAACACUUCAUGACUGAGAGCUGCUGCCCCACAAACUUCACCCACAGCAGACAUGACUUUGAUCACCAUCUUCAUCUGGACUCUGAUCUUCUGGACUCAAGGAUCCAGAGGUCAGGCGACUGUGACUCAGACUCCUGCAGUGAAAUCUGCUCUUCCAGGAGAAACAGUCACCAUCAGCUGUAGAACCAGCCAUGCAGUGUAUAAUGAUAAGCAUCUAGCCUGGUAUCUGCAGAAACCUGGAGAAGCUCCUAAACUCCUGAUCUACGGUGCUACUACAUUGUGGUCAGGAACUCAAGCUCGUUUCAGUGGCAGUGGAUCUGGAUCUUACUUCACUCUGACCAUCAGUGGAGUCCAGACUGAAGAUGCAGGAGAUUAUUAUUGUCAAGGUGAAUUCUACAUCAGUAGUAUCUGGUCGUUGACACAGUGAUACAGAGCCGUACAAAAAGCUGUGAGAGUCAGAGACACAGAGGCUGCACUGCUGCAGCUGAGACCUACUGCAGGUGCUGAGGGGGAGGAUGUGAUACAGCACAAUCACACACUCUGUGGAGGAGAGGAAACACACCACACUAACACACAACUCAACACACACAUCUAUAAAUAAGCACAAAGCAAUAAUGCACACAGCAUUUCAGCUCCACUUCUAUGAGAGGAGUAGUUCAGUAGAGCUGGAGCUCAUUCUAGUCCUACUGU